UCUUAUCAAGAGAGGUGGAGGGACUGGCCCGAUGAAGCCCGGCAACCUGUCGAAUCAGGUGCCAAUACCAGCAGCCCCGCGAGGCUGGAUGAUGAGA
rnacentral:ncRNA from 1 species